UUCCCGGAAACAUUGCUUCCUCCACUUUUUAAUGCCAAAAUCUUUCCGGAAACAUUGCUUCCUUCAUUUUCUCAUGCCAGAAUGGCCAAGAGAUUUCAAAUCUGGUCACAGAACUUUCAUCUCUUGGCCACUUUGAGUAUCCCUCGGAAAUUUUUUUAGUGUUUCCGCCAAAUAUCUGCGCGGCGCUAGUGUUUGUGGAAAAAAGUGCAAAAAUGGUGGGACGCUGCAAUCGCUGUGAUGGAAAUUCUCAAUUUUUGGUGGAAAAAAGCAUUGUUAUGUUUUUUUUUCUUCCCGGACGUCCCGGACGUCCCGGACUGUAAAACAACACCAAAGUACUCCGGAAAAUACUAAAUAUCAUAUUACAAGCGUAAUGCCGUACAUGAAUCUCAAUCCGGCAGACAGGCGGCGGCAUUAGCUGCGCGCAAUCACCAUCGACUUCUUCCGUACAAAGUGAUGAAGACAAAUCCUGAAUAUGCCGCCCUCCAGUUACUGUUGAGGUGAAGAAGGAAGAUGUUGAAGUUGCUGCGAUGCAGCAACCGGAAGCAGCUGUUCAGGAGAAUGGUGUACAAAAGCAGGAGGGUUAAAAGCAAAAUCCGGAACAACAGAAGCAGCAAGGUGAGGUAAUAAAGAGCGUAAUAAAGUGAAGGAAGCUGCCCAGGAGGUUGUUGAAAGGCUCUCUCUCUGUACCUGAGAUGCAGAGAGAAAAAGCCAAACUGGCUGUUAUGUCAGUUUUGAAGGAACAGAGAAGGAGCGAACAGUUGUCUUCCAUCGUGUUAUCACGAUGGAAGAUCACGAUUGAGAAGAACCUCCAGGAAUUGGGUGAGCAGCAAACAAUUCUGGACAAUUUCUUCUCUAAGGAUGGUUGUUGAUUACGUCAGGACUAUUCUCUACACCAUCGUGUGAGGAGUGUCACCUUUUAACGUUUCCUGGCGGAACAGUGCUUCGACAUGUUGCAGGACAUCUGGGGGAAGGACAAACUCUAUGGUAUCAAAGUGGCCGUUGCGGGGCUACAGGAACUCAAGGAGGAUGACAAGAAGGACCUAAUGGAUCUCCUUGAUUGUCAUUUUGAUCCGGAGAAGCAGAUAAUUAAGCCAGUGUCCCGGAAGACUAACAAGUGGCGCUUUCAGAAGAGACAAACUUCGAGAAUUUCAUCAAGGGAAAUAUUCAAAUAGGAAAUAAUCAACAGAGAAGCAAUCAGCAGAAUCACAAUGGUGAAAACCAUCAGGAUAACAACAAGAACUAUCAGCAUGGCAACAAUCAUUUGUGUGGUCGCACCAGGGGUAAAUUAAUUAAUUAUUUGUAGAAAAAAAAAAGAUCUCUGGGUAUUUUAAAAGAAACAGAAAAGAAUCUUUUAAGUAUAUUUAAUUUAUUAAUUUGUUAAAAAAGGAUCUUUUUCUUCUUUUAAGAAUUCU